AGCAGUAGCCGCGGUAAUACGGAGGGUGCAAGCGUUAAUCGGAAUUACUGGGCGUAAAGCGCACGCAGGCGGUCUGUCAAGUCAGAUGUGAAAUCCCCGGGCUUAACCUGGGAACUGCAUUUGAAACUGGCAGGCUAGAGUCUUGUAGAGGGGGGUAGAAUUCCAGGUGUAGCGGUGAAAUGCGUAGAGAUCUGGAGGAAUACCGGUGGCGAAGGCUGCCCCCUGGACAAAGACUGACGCUCAGGUGCGAAAGCGUGGGGAGCAAACAGGAUUAGAGACCCCUGUAGUCCCUGUCUCUUAUAC
rnacentral:rRNA from 1 species